GGAUGAACGCUAGCGGCAGGCUUAAUACAUGCAAGUCGUGGGGCAGCGCAGUGUAGCAAUACAUGGGCGGCGACCGGCAAACGGGUGCGGAACACGUACACAACCUUCCUUCAAAUGGGGAAUAGCCCAGGGAAACUUGGAUUAAUACCCCGUAACAUUAUGAGGUGGCAUCACUUUAUAAUUAUAGCUCCGGCGUUUGGAGAUGGGUGUGCGGCUGAUUAGGUAGUUGGCGGGGAACGGCCCACUAAGCCUUCGAUCAGUAACUCGGUGUGAGAGCACGACCAGUCACACGGGCACUGAGACACGGG
rnacentral:rRNA from 1 species